UACAGAGGGUGCGAGCGUUAAUCGGAAUUACUGGGCGUAAAGCGCACGUAGGUGGCGACGUAAGUCGGGUGUGAAAGCCCCGGGCUCAACCUGGGAAUUGCAUUCGAGACUGCAUUGCUGGAGUACGGAAGAGGAGGGCGGAAUUCCCGGUGUAGCGGUGAAAUGCGUAGAUAUCGGGAGGAACAUCAGUGGCGAAGGCGGCCCUCUGGACAGUUCCUGAUGCUGAGGCACGAAGGCCAGGGGAGCAAACGGG
rnacentral:rRNA from 1 species